GUCCCGUUCGUCUAGCCAGGUUUAGGACACUUGGAUUUCAUCCAAGAGACAGAGGUUCGAAUCCUUUACGGGACG
rnacentral:tRNA from 2 species